CACGUAGGGCGCAAGCGUUGUCCGGAAUUAUUGGGCGUAAAGAGCUCGUAGGCGGUUUGUCGCGUCGGAUGUGAAAGCCCGGGGCUUAACCCCGGGUCUGCAUUCGAUACGGGCAGACUGGAGUGUGGUAGGGGAGAUCGGAAUUCCUGGUGUAGCGGUGAAAUGCGCAGAUAUCAGGAGGAACACCGGUGGCGAAGGCGGAUCUCUGGGCCAUUACUGACGCUGAGGAGCGAAAGCGUGGGGAGCGAACAGG
rnacentral:rRNA from 1 species